GGGGCCGUAGUUCACUCGGGAGAACGUCGCGUUUGCAUCGCGAAGGUAGGGGGUUCGAAUCCCCCCGGCUCCACCA
rnacentral:tRNA from 1 species